GGCGAACGGGUGAGUAACGCGUGGGUGAUCUGCCCUGCACUUCGGGAUAAGCUUGGGAAACUGGGUCUAAUACCGGAUAGGAGCCAUCUUUAGUGUGGUGGUUGGAAAGUUUUUCGGUGUAGGAUGAGCUCGCGGCCUAUCAGCUUGUUGGUGGGGUAAUGGCCUACCAAGGCGGCGACGGGUAGCCGGCCUGAGAGGGUGUACGGCCACAUUGGGACUGAGAUACGGCCCAG
rnacentral:rRNA from 1 species